rnacentral:rRNA from 1 species
CGGAUUGGAGUCUGNAACCCGACUCCAUGAAGCUGGAUUCGCUAGUAAUCGCGCAUCAGCCACGGCGCGGUGAAUACGUUCCCGGGCCUUGUACACACCGCCCGUCAAGCCAUGGAAGCCGGGGGUGCCUGAAGUGCGCUGCCGCAAGGAGCGUCCUAGGGUAAAACCGGUGACUGGGGCUAAGUCGUAACAAGGUAAC